rnacentral:rRNA from 1 species
UACGGAGGGUGCAAGCGUUAUCCGGAUUCACUGGGUUUAAAGGGUGCGUAGGCGGGCAGGUAAGUCAGUGGUGAAAUCCUGGAGCUUAACUCCAGAACUGCCAUUGAUACUAUCUGUCUUGAAUAUUGUGGAGGUAAGCGGAAUAUGUCAUGUAGCGGUGAAAUGCUUAGAUAUGACAUAGAACACCUAUUGCGAAGGCAGCUUACUACGCAUAUAUUGACGCUGAGGCACGAAAGCGUGGGGGAUCAAACAGG